AGUGAACGCUGGCGGUAGGCCUAACACAUGCAAGUCGAACGGCAGCACAGUAAGGGCUUGCUCUUACGGGUGGCGAGUGGCGGACGGGUGAGGAAUACAUCGGAAUCUACUUUUUCGUGGGGGAUAACGUAGGGAAACUUACGCUAAUACCGCAUACGACCUACGGGUGAAAGCAGGGGAUCUUCGGACCUUGCGCGAUUGAAUGAGCCGAUGUCGGAUUAGCUAGUUGGCGGGGUAAAGGCCCACCAAGGCGACGAUCCGUAGCUGGUCUGAGAGGAUGAUCAGCCACACGGGAACUGAGACACGGUCCAGACUCCUACGGGAGGCAGCAGUGGGGAAUAUUGGACAAUGGGCGCAAGCCUGAUCCAGCCAUACCGCGUGGGUGAAGAAGGCCUUCGGGUUGUAAAGCCCUUUUGUUGGGAAAGAAAAGCAGCAGGUUAAUACCCCGCUGUUCUGACGGUACCCAAAGAAUAAGCACCGGCUAACUUCGUG
rnacentral:rRNA from 1 species